GUAGGGUGCUUGGUUGAUGUAUGAAUUGAUGUGAGAUCCACGAUAUGGUUUUGGUUUGCUUCAUGUUACAGAACUGCUUUGUUUGACUUUAAUUUGAAACAGUUUAGUAUGCCAACAGGGUGCAGCCCAAUUGUGGAUUUUGCAUUUUGCUUUGCGGUUUACCGGCUUGGAAUUGUGGCUAUUGUUUGGCUCGGCUGUUUGGCGUUUUGGACUCACUUUUA
rnacentral:lncRNA from 1 species